rnacentral:rRNA from 1 species
GAUGAACGCUGGCGGCGUGCCUAAUACAUGCAAGUCGAGCGAACAGACGAGGAGCUUGCCCCUCUGACGUUAGCGGCGGACGGGUGAGUAACACGUGGAUAACCUACCUAUAAGACUGGGAUAACUUCGGGAAACCGGAGCUAAUACCGGAUAAUAUAUUGAACCGCAUGGUUCAAUAGUGAAAGACGGUUUUGCUGUCACUUAUAGAUGGAUCCGCGCCACAUUAGCUAGUUGGUAAGGUAACGGCUUACCAAGGCAACGAUGCGUAGCCGACCUGAGAGGGUGAUCGGCCACACUGGAACUGAGACACGGUCCAGACUCCUACGGGAGGCAGCAGUAGGGAAUCUUCCGCAAUGGGCGAAAGCCUGACGGAGCAACGCCGCGUGAGUGAUGAAGGUCUUCGGAUCGUAAAACUCUGUUAUUAGGGAAGAACAAAUGUGUAAGUAACUAUGCACGUCUUGACGGUACCUAAUCAGAAAGCCACGGCUAACUACGUG